CCUCGGGAGGCAGCAGUGGGGAAUAUUGCGCAAUGGGGGCAACCCUGACGCAGCCAUGCCGCGUGUGUGAAGAAGGCCUUCGGGUUGUAAAGCACUUUAAGUGGGGAGAAAGGCCCGUUGGUUAAUAGCCAGCGGGAUUGAUGUUACCCACAGAAUAAGCACCGGCUAACUCCGUGCCAGCAGCCGCGGUAAU
rnacentral:rRNA from 1 species